rnacentral:lncRNA from 1 species
UGUAAAUUAAACAUGACAACAUGCAUUAUUCCUGUAGUUCAAAUAGUGACAGAAAAAAAUUAAUUAAAAAAAGAAAAAAGACUGGGCGUGGUGGCUCACACCUGUAAUCCCAGCACUUUGGGAGGCCAAGGCGGGUGGAUUACCUGAGGUCAGGAGUUCGAAACCAGCCUGACUAAUACGGUGAAACCCCAUCUACUAAAAAUACAAAAAUUAGCCAGGUGGGGUGAUGCUGUAAUCCCAGCUAGUCAGGAGGCUGAGGCAGAGGUUGUGGUGAGGGGAGAUCAUGCCAUUGCACUCCAGCCUGGGCAACAAGAGCAAAACUCCGUCUCAAAAAAAAAAAAAUCAAUUAAAAAAAGAAAAAAAUGCAUUCUUAUCAGACUUUUAUGUUUCUCAUAUAUAGCACUGUUUUCGACAGACUUAAACAUAGUUAUUUAUUAUAUACCACUUUUUUGCACAAAUCAAAAGGAAAAUUGGCUGGGUGCAGUGGCUCACACUUGUAAUCCCAUCAUUUUGGGAGGCUGAGGUGGGCGGAUCACGAGGUCAGGAGUUUGAGACCAGCCUGGCCAACAUGGUGAAACCCCAUCUCUACUAAAAAUAGAAAAAAUAGCUGGGCGUAGUGGUGGGCACCUGUAAUCCCAGCUACUCGGGAGUCUGAGGCAGGAGAGUCGCUUGAACCCGGGAGGCGGAGGUUGCAGUGAGCCAAGGUCACACCAUUGCACUCCAGCCUGGGCGACAUGGUGAGACUCCAUUUCAAAAAAAAAAAAGGAAAAUAAGUGAAAUAAACAAAAAAAUCAGUUUAACUUUUUGCCAUAUCAGACAUCCUUAGAAGAAUAAACAUUGGCCGGGCGCGGUGGCUUAUGCCUAUAAUCCCAGCACUUUGGGAGGCUAAAGCAGGCUGAUCACCUGAGGUCGGGAGUUUGAGACCAGCCUGACCAACAUGGAGAAACCCCAUCUCUACUAAAAAUAGAAAAAAAAAAUUAGCCAGGCAUGGCGGUGCAUGCCUGUAGCCCCACCGACUUGGAGGCUGAGGCAGGAGAAUCACUUGAAUCCGGUAGGCGGAGGUUGCGGUGAGCCGAGAUCGUGCCAUUGCACUCCAACCUGGGCGACAAGAGUGAAACUCUGUCUCAAAAAAAAGAAUAAACAUUAGGCUCUGUUAGUAUGAAAAAGCCUUGUUUAUGUAUGAUUUUUCCAGUGCUGAAAAUGGGAUGGAGAUUUAGAAGCUUUGGAGGGAGGUGGUUUUAUGUUUUUCAUGUGUCCUGGAUUCCUCUUGUGUGGCCAUAGCAGAGGGCAGUGAUAGGGGCAUCCCUUACAAAUGCCCUUUUACUGUCUGGCUUGGUUAGAGUUCUUUGGCCAAGUUCCUGCCUCUGUUGUUAUGGUCCUCCUACCAGUUCAUUUAGGGAUCAAGAGUUAAUGAGUCUCUCGGGUCGUUUUUGUGAGGUCCAGCUUUGUAAGGAGUCCUUCCUUCCUUACGUCUUGGCUUAAGACAUGUCCUGCUGCUGCUAAGUUGUCACAGUCCCAUAGGGGGGCAAAAUGAGAGGAGCUUUUAAGACGGACUUCACGAUUGCAGCAUUUUAAAUGGCUACAUGUUUUAUUUCCUUAGCUUUAGUGUUUCUGUAGAGAAAAGAGAUGGAUUUCAAUUUUUUUGCAUGUCACUCUGACAAAGUUCUGUUUCCCUUACAGCAGCCAAGAAACUAAAAUAAGGCUAGGCUUAGUGGCUCAUGCCUGUAAUCUUAGCACUUUGUGAGGCCAAAAUGAGAGGAUCGCUUAAGCCCAGUAGUUUGAGACCAGCCUGGGCAACAUAGUGAGACUUAGUCUCUAUAAAAACAUUUAAGGCUGGGUGCGGUGGCUCACGCCUGUAAUUCCAGCACCUUGGGAGGCUGAGGCCAGUGGAUUGCUUGAGGCCAGGAGUUCGAGACCAACCUGGGCAACGUGGUGAAACCCGCCCCCCAUCUCUGU